CCUACGGGAGGCUGCAGUCGAGAAUCAUUCACAAUGGGGGAAACCCUGAUGGUGCGACGCCGCGUGGGGGAAUGAAGGUCUUCGGAUUGUAAACCCCUGUCAUGUGGGAGCAAAUUAAAAAGAUAGUACCACAAGAGGAAGAGACGGCUAACUCUGUGCGAGCAGCCGCGGUAAUACAGCGGUCUCAAGCGUUGUUCGGAAUCACUGGGCGUAAAGGGUGCGUAGGCUGUUUCGUAAGUCGUGUGUGAAAGGCGCGGGCUCAACCCGCGGACGGCACAUGAUACUGCGAGACUAGAGUAAUGGAGGGGGAAGCGGAAUUCGCGGUGUAGCAGUGAAAUGCGUAGAUAUCGAGAGGAACACUCAUGGCGAAGGCGGGUUCCUGGACAUUAACUGACGCUGAGGCACGAAGGCCAGGGGAGCGAAAGGGAUUAGAUACCCGUGUAGUC
rnacentral:rRNA from 1 species